rnacentral:piRNA from 1 species
ACCACACAUGUGCAGUGCUCACAAAGG